CCGUAUCAAAAUGCAAGCAUUAUUGUUAUAAUUAUGGUUUCACUUAUUAGAGAUUUGAUGUUAAAAGGGGAAUUUAAUAAUAACACUCAUUGAUUUUUUUUCAAACUGCAACGAAAUCUCUCCAGGAUGUUGCUGGUAACAACCAUCCAGCCAGUAAGAACUGAAACGAGAUUUUUUUUUAGGAGAUGUUGGGGGUGGGUUGGAUCAGCCGGGUGUCUAUUACAUGUGGAAACCCUUCACCAUUCUUAUGGGUAUCCAAAUUAAACUAAGAUUUCCAAAGCGUGAGAUGGAACACACAGCCUUUUAACUCAGAGGCCAGAGGACGAGAGAUUGAACAACAAGUUUACACCGGUUUAAUCCAAUAAACUGACUUUCUCUUUCAAUUUUGCGCUCUUAAGAGUAUUUUUUAUGAGAAAUCCCCGGUUUCAAUUAACUUUGCUAUAAAACGGAAGCUCAUCCGCAGCCUGUAACACAAGGAGAAAGAGAGGGCGAGAGAAAUAGACAGAAGAAUGACGGCACUGCAGCGCACAGUCAAAUAUGAUCUGUUUCAGGAGGUGGGAGUGUCCCUGCCGAGGGGUUCUGAAGCUCAAAAGCCUCAGGAGGGGGUGAAGUUGACGGCCGGUCAUCUCCACCCUGGGGUGUUUGACCCGCUGGCCUCCAACGCUCGUAGAACUCCCCCGAACAUCACUGUCUAUGUGCAGAACUGCGAGGCGAAGCAGAGCGCUCUGCAGAUUCCUAGGCAGGUGAGAGUCUCCGAGCUGAAGGAGGCGAUAUCCCGGUAAAUGGGAAUCCCGGUGCAAUCCCAGAUCCUCUACUGCAAAAGGGAGCUGAGGGAGAUCGAGAAGCUUUGCGACAUUACCAUGAAGGAUAGCAUUCGUGUCAUUUUGGUGCAAAAGUGCCGCGGAGGCUGAUGUGUGGAGACUGAAUUUCCCUCUUCCCCAUCCUGCUGGUACUCGCUUUCCCCACACUGGAGAUCUCUCCAGUAAUCCUAUUCCCCAUCUCUCUCUCUCUCUCUCUGCUUGCGCUCCCUGCCCCACAAUGCAGCUGUAUUCUCCAGCUCAUUCCGUCUGCCACUCAUGGUUUUGCUAAUGAUGCCGAUAAUAAAUUGUGUUUGACGCUUUUGCUGUGUGGAGAUUUUCUCGAUGCAUUUUCAGCAAGCAAUAAAUAGGUGCAAAUAAAAGAU